CAUGCCUGGCCCAAGAGGUUCAGAUGGAGAAGUUGCCGGCAACACCCUGCAUAAUUGUGUGUGGGCCCUGUUGCUUUUCUGCUGAGACAUUCAUGUUGAGCAUUGACCAAAAGGUUGUCAACGACCACAUCACUUCCUUCACCUCUGCCCUCUGCCUGAUGUUUGGGAGUUUCUACUGCUUCAACAUACACUACCCAGUGGAACUACGAUCAACACUAGAGUUUCUCCAAAGGUGUUUCUUCUCAAUAAAUCCUGAGAGAGGCACCAAAGUCGAGUGGAAUAAAAAAAAGAAAGUACUCC